rnacentral:lncRNA from 1 species
GAGGGGAAUCUAUUCAUCUAUUAGAGGAAACUGAAGCAAGAAUGCAAACUUGAGGAUGUGACAGGAUAGAAUAGGGGGCCACUAAAGAUUACAGCUCUCCUCGGAGAACCCUGGCCGGAGAACCACUUGGGUCCAAUAAUUCCCAAGAGGUUGCAUCUCUAUUUCAAAGGCAGCCUACAGCCAAUGCCUGACUAAUGUGGGGUAUAAACGUCCAUGCCUUUUGCUUCAUGGCAGAUUAUUUACAUUCCAAAGCAGCCCACAGAAGCAGACUAAAGCCAAACUCCAGCUGCAAUGACUUUCCUUAUCAGCUUCUCUUUCUGCUACUUCUGACCCACAGAGCCAAGCCCCUGAAGCUCCUCGUGAGAUCACUCCCUCAAUAUGAGGCUCAAGUAAGAAUCUCUAUGACAGGUUCCACUUCUGAGAGAUCCCUCCACCACUGUGUGCCUGCAACAAGAACCAUGGACUUUCUGGCCCACGUUUUUCUCUUCCAUUGAAGUUCCUAGGCAUUGAGUUUCCAGCUGUCGUAUUUGACCUUGAAUACCUUGUAUGAGGUGAAAAAUAAAGCAUCAUGCAGCAUUCAUUUUUCUUAACCCCAUCUUCAUCAUCAUUGCAAAGUGAGGUGAACCUGCAGGCUGUGGGCUCGUUCCCUGGGGAGCCAUGUGUCUGGCUCAUGCAAGCAGGCACAUCCCUACCCAGCACAACCUUGCUGCAAACAGAAACUGUCACACAUCCCCACACUCUAUUCAGCUUGUGAUUCUAAAAAAGGUUGCCAGGUUGGACCAGAUUUCAGCUGCAAUAAAAAGGACCAACUACUUAGUUUCUCUUCAGUCUGUCCUGAAUACAAAUAAUACUUGUGUUUGUCAUAAGGUGUUUAAAGGACUCAGCUUUGAGACUUGGGCUUGGAGAGUCGUGUGCCUUUCAAGGAUUCUUGCAUCUGACCGUUAGAAUGCAGAGAUCACUGGCUGUUAGGAUCUGCCCAGAAAUCCCCCAAGAUGCUGGCACUGGAUGGUAUUAGAAAAUUAUGGUGUUUUGCUGUGUUGCCAGAAAAAAAAGGAAAGAUUAAACAGAAAGCAGGCUUAAUAAAUAAAGUUGAAGGUUGCUGAGCAGAGCAACAGUGAUGAGUCUUCACUCCUGUGGCCAGUGCCUUGAGAUGCCUAGAAUGAGUUAUACCCACCCCAUGCUCCAACACACUCACCCCCACCGUCUCAGUCCUCAUCUUACUAUGAUUGGUUGUUAUAAGUGUCAGGAUUGUUCUGGUUUGGGGUUUUGGGGUGUAUGUGAAUGUUUGCUUGCCUGUGUGCAUGCGGGUAUAUGUGGAGGUCGGAAGUCAAUGCUGGGGAUCCUUCUCAAUUGCUCUCUUUUAUUUAAUGAAGCAGGUUCUCUCUGGGAACCUAGAGCUUGCAGAGCCUGCCUAGUCUAGCUAUCCAGCUUGCCCCAGGAAUAACCUGGCUCUGCCUCCAAAGUGCAAGAAUUACCAGUGGGUCACCAUACUGCCCAAAUUUUAUCUGGCAUCUAGGGUCCAAAAUCUGGACUUUACGAGCUCUGCCAUCUCCCCAGUCCCUGAAUAGGUUUAUAACAUGUACUGUGGGUUUUGGCUGACAUGGGGUAAUGGGUGUUAGAUGUCCCAGUCCGACUCUCCUGGGAGAUGCUAUGGGCCUUUGCUGGGUGAACCGUUGGUCACUGGAAGCAUGCAUGUCCUUAAAGGGUCUCCGGAGCCCUGGGCUAUUGUUGUUUGUUUUUCAGUCUUUUGUGUAUGCUCAUGAAUAUGGGGUGUGUGUGUGUGUGUGUGUGUGUUUCUGUGUAAGAGCACACAUGAAUGCACCAUGGCACAUGCCUGGAGGUCAAAAGCCAACCUUGGGUGGUGAAUUGUCACCUUCCAUCUUAUAUGAGACAGAGUUUGUUUUAUUCACUGUCACACAUGAGCUUCCAAGGAUUCUCCUGUCUCUAUCUCCCAUCUCAAGUAGGGGCACUGGCAUUACAGAUGCACACUGUCACCCCCAGCUUUUAGUGGGUUCUGAGCAUCUGAAUUCAGGUCUGCCCUUGGGUGACAAGCACUUUACUCUCUGGGUCACCCACUAGAGCCUGGUUGACCUACCAGGGACCACUCCCUUAAGAAGAACUGACUCUCCCUCCCCUCUAGGACAUCAGCUAUCAAGGGCUCAUUAGCUAGAAGUGGCGGCUCCUGAGACUCUCCCUCCUCGGCCUGGAUGUUGGUUGACAGACCUUGUGCAGCGCAGCCAAACACAGCUACUGUGAGUUCAUAAGUGCCAUAGACCUGGCCAUGUCCAAAAGACAUUGUUUUGACCUAGUCCUCUUUAACCUGUUCUUGCAGUCUUUCUGUCCCCCUUUCCCCAUUGGUCCCUGGCCCUUGCAGGGAGGAUGCUUUAGUAGAGAUAUCCCAUUUGUGGCUGACCUCUUCAGAGAUACUCAUUUUCUGUACUUGGACCAUUGUGAGUUUCUAACUUAACCACCAUCUACCAAUACUGAUUGUCCCCCCAGGGAGAGCCUUUCACAGCCAUGUGGCCAAAAGUCCUUAAAAGCAGAAUUUGCCUCAUUCUGUGACUCCAGGGCCAUCUGAUCCUGCAAGAUAGAGGUGGUGGGACAAAUCUAACAAGGAAAGUCAAAAAGGAAAAAUGUGGCCACCACUGCUAUUUUAAAUGUUUGUUCACAUGACAUUCAAGUAGAUCUGUGGUGUGACCUGAAGGCCCCGUGUCUAACCUGAUGUUGGGCUGUGUGAACAAGGUACAGAGGCAGAUACAGUGUGCAAACUUGAGAGCACAGGGGUGACCCAGGGGACAGAGCUGAACUGCCUCAUGACCUCAGAGCAGGUGCAAAGUUUCUGCCACAUCCACACUCUCUAACCUCCUGACGGUAAAAUGGGGGUCCUAAUGCCUCCCUGAACGUCUGUUUUGAGAGAUAAGCCACAUCAUGGAUGAGAGAGAUCCAGCAAGGUAUCUAGUGUGGAAAAGCUGUGUGUGAUAUCUAUUUCUGAAGCUAAGUUGUCUAAAACACUGCUCACUUUACAGAUGAAAACAUUGGGACCCGGAGGAGGGCAGGGACUUGCCAAGGCCACACAGCAAGCCUAGCUAGAGGCCUCUAAGCCCCUCACUUCCUUUCCUUCAUCAUAUGACACUUGUUGCUGAAUAUGGGACAGUGUGGGUUGUCCCCAAAGGGCUGCACUGCAGGACAGGAGUAUCAACAUUUCCCUGGGAAGAUGGCUCAUGCAUAGCCUCAGAUUCUGAGACAGUGGGGAAAGAGAAGGAGAGAGGUGACUCCCUUCAGCAGGAGUCUCCCCAGUUUGUUUCUUCUUGGGUAGGGAUUCCGUCUGCCUCCUGCCAGUGUGGCAUCACCUGCUCCUUCAACCUGAGUCUAGGGUAGCUACCUGGAUGGAGAAGAAGAGACAAGACACUGGAGACAGGCUGCCACCUCCCAGAGCAGAGGACCACCAACAGAAGCAAGCCAUGCAACCAUCCUAAGAACAGAGCAUCCCACUGGUAACAGAACUUGUGAGCAUAGAACCUUUAAAGCCAGCUUGUCCAUCAGUCAAGUUGGAUGGGGAGGGGCUGGCCCUCAACCCCUGUUCCAACAGAGUUGCCCUGAGCCAGGCCCACCGAGUACUGGCCUUUCUGCUCUGUCUCUGCUACCCACAUCCCAGCAACCUCUGGGUUCAAACCUCCUCUCCAUCCUGAUUAAACUCUCUCUCCCUUACAUCUGUAAUCACGUGCUGGGCUGUGAAUUUCAAAACCCCAUAUAAAUACGCGCUUUAGAAUUAAACUGCUUCAGCAAUUCCCGACAAUGAUUUCUCCAAAAUUAAGCCCAGACAAUUUGUUGAGCCAGAGCACAACAUCUGAAACAUGCAUGAUGGGCUGGGAAGGAAUGUUCUCUGAGCCCAAUGGCUUCAUAAACAAGGCUCCUCUGAAGGCAAAAGGCGGGCUCCACAGGCACGUGCUGCCCCCUGGCAGCACUGAGGGUUAGUGGCAUCCCAGAAUGUCACACACUAUCCAAAGGAAACAAAGCCUAGCCACUCUUGAGCUCAGCUUCCCCCACUCAGAGACUACCCUGAAACUCCAACUGUAAGAAAAAAAACCUGUGAAAAAGACAAAAGGGUGGAAUGAGCUUGGACCUGUAUAGCUGGUGUAGCCUCCACUGUGAAUAAAAGGAAUGAAGCACACACAAGCUGGGUACAGAGGAAUCCCCCAAGCGUCAUGUUGAGGGAACCUGCAAGGCCGUACACUGCUCGGCUCUGUUUAUCUCAUGUCCCGAACAGACAGGUAGAGAGGAACAGAAAGCACAUGAGAGGUGGGUGGUCAGAGGUCUGGGAGAAAUAGGGGUUGAGUGAGUGGGUGAGUUCAUGACUCAUGGGUUUCAGCAUGUAAAGAUGAAAGUAUCUUAGAACUAGACAACAAUGAUAAAACAAUGUGGGUGUGCAGAAUGCCGCCAAGCUGCACACCUUACAGUGGAAAUUUUGGAUAAACAAAUGUUUAUAAAUAAAUAAAUGGGGCUCCGUAGGUGAAGGUGUUUGGCAAUGAGCCUGACAACCUGAGUUAGAUCCUAAGACCCACAAGGUAGAAGUAGAGAAAAAAAAUCCCUGCAGGUUACCCACAGACCUCCCCACAAUAAUAACAACAACAAUAAUAAUAAUAAAUAUUGUGGUAUGAUUACUUACUGUAGUCAAAUUGACCACUGUGAUGGUCAGUCUUGUCCACUUGACAGGAUCUAGAGUUCCCUGGGAGACGAGCAUCUGGGCAUGCUUGUGAGGGUUAACUAAGCAAGAAGGCCAUCCUUAGUGGGUAGUUCCAUCCAUGGGUUGGGGUCCUGAACUGAAUGAGAAGGAAAAACCAAAGCAAGCUGCACACCACCAUUUGUCUCUCCCUUUGCUUCUGGACUCUGGAUACAAUGACCAGCUGCCUCAUGUUCCUGCCACCAAGCCUUCUGGCCUCUCUGCCUUGGAACUGUGAGCCUAAAGCAACCAAGCCUUCCCUCCUUAAAUUGCUUCGUGGGGUAUUCUGUUAAACAAGAAAGUGACUAAUACAGUCUUAAAAACAAGCUCAACCCUUUCUCACCCACCUUCCUGUCCCUCUCUCCUUCCCCUCAGAUGCUCCGGCCUAUCUUGAAGUGACAAUUUCAGAAUAUCCUCAAAGGACUCUUUUCUGCCAAGAUGGGUCACCAGUUCCUUCUUCCAGGACCAGGUUAGUGGAAGACAAGCCACAGGCCAAGAGCAUUGGCACUGUCCCCUGAUUCAGACUGGCACCCACAUAGAGAGCAUCCCUUCCUCAUGGUUGGAACCUUUGGCAUGAAAGCUAUAGACUCUCACUUCUUUGCAUGUGAGGUUUUCUGGUUGUCUCUGCACUGUCCAGAGAUUUGAGUGAGGGACCCUCAAUCAUAGUAUCUUCCCCAUUCAAUUUGCCAUCCUCAAGCCGAGCUUGUGAAUCUAGGAAGGUAUUCUCCAGAGGCUCCUAGAGCCCAACUGUUGAAGCCUGGCCAGCCUGCCCCCACACCAUGACAUACUCUAGGCACCUCACAUUCCUAGGGAGAGCCUCUAUGGUGCAUCAUUUAGUCUUCAUGCAAACAUGAAGUACACAAAUUGCUCCCAUUUAACUGCUGAAGAAACUGAGGCUCAAGGAACAAGAGUCACACAGGGAGUCAAUGGCAAAAACAGAAUCUCAAGCUUGGUCCUUCCAGCUGGUCCAUGGACUCCAAAAAUCUCUAAGGGCUGGGUUCCCAUCGAACAUCAGAGACCUGAGGCAAGAGGAACUCCAACAGUCAGGACUACCUGUGUCCUGCCUAGGAGCUCUGAUGGAGUAGACUUGUAUCUGGUGCCCAAGGACAAGCACAGAGCCUUCAGGUGUAAAUAUCAGUGAGUAUAUGUAAAAUGAAAGUAGACACAGACCCACUGUGACUGAAACAGCCCCACCCGCCUGGAAACAACAACACAGGACCCAAAACAACACAGGACCCAAAACAACACUGGACCCAAAACAACACUGGACCCAAAACAACACUGGAUCUGAGUCUUUGCCCAGAGCUUUAACUGAAUGUAGACCUAAAACAGCUGGGGAAUUAGUCUUACUGGUAUCAGCUUGUUCUCUAUCUAUCUAUCUAUCUAUCUAUCUAUCUAUCUAUCUAUCUCUGUCUGUCUGUCUGUCUGUCUGUCUCCUUCCCCUCUUCCCUUCCUGCCUGCCUCCUUUUUUUUAAGACAGAGGCUCAUGUAAUCCAAGCCUGCCCCAAAUGCAAGCAAAUUCACUAUGUAGUCAAGGAUGCCUUUCAACUUCUGAUUCCCCUGCCUCCACCUCUCAAGGGAUUACAUUGCCUCCAUACUCUCCCUGUGUUACACACACACACACACACACACACACACACACACACACACACACACACACAUCCACCCCUAGUCUCAGGUCUUCACAAAAAUCUUUGCAAAAUAAGACAUCAAAAAGGCCCUCUAGGUUCUCCCUGCCUACCUCAAACUUCAGCAGUGAAACUCUUCCUAAAGAAGCUGAAAAGUUAAGUUGAAAUUCUCAGACUGUCUUCUGACUUUCUCCCAUGUGUUGAAUGGAAAAGUGGGGUUUCCAGAUGAUUUUCACCAGAUUGAGUAGUAGGCCAAAUCCCAUCAUGGAGUUGAGAAAGAAAGGCUGUCAGUCCCCUGAGGUCCAAAGCUCUUUGUGACCUGUGCAGGUGGCCAUUGCCUAUAUUCUCAGCUACAUUGAAGGCUGAGGCAGGAGAAUUUCAAGUUCAAAGCCAACCUCAGCAAUGUAGUAAAACCUUGUCUCAAAGUGAAACUAUGUCUCAACUGUGGAACAUUUUCCUUGCAUAAGGCCCUAAGUUCAGUUCCCAGGACAGAAGAAAAAAAGUCUUCAUGUUAUCAAAUUGGCAGUGUAACAUUAGAGUGACUCCAUGGUGUGACUUGGAUGUGCAGAGUCUAGUCUUAUGUUAAGAAACAUAAAUACAGGUCUGGUGUCUAGGAGAAGAAAACAAGGGGUCCAUAUCUCCCAUGAUUUGUUCAGAGCCAGCUGAGGUCCUAGUGAGUUCUACACCCACCUUUUCCCAUUUUAAGAGGAAUAAAUGGGAUCUUUCCACUGGGGUUACACUCUUACUUCCUCCCUAAAUGAGCUGAUUCCAGGUGUUCCAUCCUCAGCCAUUGGAAUCAUCACAUCUUCUAACUCUAUCACCAAUCGCCAAGACUGAAACCAUGAAAGGAAGGCUGGCCUACUCUUCACCCUCCACUGAUGCAGCCACAUCCCAUUAGUCCCACCCACUGGAUACCUCCAGUGACCGCCCACUCUCUCUGAACCAUCUGAAUGGUUCUAACUUGUGGAGAAGCCUCCUACCCAGCUCCCUGCAUGCUCUCUGCUCUCAGUAUUCCUUUGUGUUGUGUUUAGCUGCCUGUCUCACCUCCCCAAGGCUCACCCAGGCCUCACCCCUGCAUCUAAUUGGAGCACUAUGACAGCCCUGCCUUCCCUCCUGCUGUCUGACUCCUUGUACCCCUCUGUGUCUAGAUCUAAAAGGGGACAUUUUUUUCUCUUGCCUUUAAGGUACUAUUUGUUUUGACAGAAAUUUUACUGACCGCCUAUUUCCCACCUAUGAACCUCCUAAACACCCUUCAAGGCCAGGCUAAGCUGCCCUCUUCUCAGGAAGAUAGGCAGUGUAGCCUUUCCAUGAUCCAGACUUAUGGUAAUUCCUGAGUUACCCUCAUCUUGCUGUGCUGACCAUACAAAGGUCUCCUCUCUGAGGCCAUGAGAUCAUUAAAGAUGGGCUGGGUCUUGCUCAGUUCAUCACCUCCAGUGUCCAUCACUAAGUUCUGCACUUAAGUACUCAUCAAUAAGUGUGUUUAGAAUGAAUGUGAAUGGUGGGUGUGUAUUGAAUGCAUGGGUGCACACAUGCAUGACUGGGUAAAUUUCUGGGUGUGUUGUGAAUGCAUACUGGAUACAUGCAAUACUGUGUCUGUGACUAGAUUCAAUACAACAUUAAGCCACCUGUGUCUACCAUGCACUCCAUCAGCACAGGCGCCAGAGUGGGCACAGCAUUGGGGUUGGAACUGUUACCCUGCCCUUUCCUUAGUUGGUUUCUAUCUCCUGGGGGUAGCAGUUCUCAAACUGUGGGUUGCAACCCCUUUAAAGGUGGAAUGGCCUCUUCAAAGGGGUCUCCUAAGACCAUUGGAAAGCACAGAUACUUACAUUACAAUUCAUAAUAGUAUCAAAAUCAGUUAUGAAGUAGCAAAGAAAAUAAUUUUAUGGUUGGGGGUCACUACAACAUAAGGAACUUUAUUAAAGGGUCAGAGCAUUAGGAAGGUUGGGAGCCACUGCUGUUAAUAUCAAGUUUGCCUUCACUAUGAUUCAAUGCCUUGGAUUUCUCUGCCUUUGGCCUACUGUGGAUAGAAGUUCCUGUCCUCAUUACCAGGGAGUCCCUCUGCUUUAAAUGAUCUAAUUGUCACUCAAAGCUUUCCCAGUCCACUUAGCAAUCUCCAUCUGAUUCCUCUAAGCUGUGGAUACAAUCUGUAUUUCUUCAUUCCCUUGUUCCACAUAUCACUUUUCCUUCUACUGAAAUAUCCCAGCUCACUGCCAAUCAAAGUUUCAUACUUACCUACUACCUUAAGACAGGAUGUGCCUCAGCCACCACCAGGAAUGCUAUCUUCAUUGCCCUUGGUGUAGUAGACAACCCACCUCUAACCUGUCCCCCCUUGCAUCAGCCUCUCAGACCAGCCCCUAUUCUGUCCCACCUUAGAUUUCUCACAAAGCUGACUCUGAGAAGACUAGAGUAUAGACUGCCUGGGUCCUCUUUAGUUGGCCUCAGACCCGAGAUGUUAGUAAAGAUACCGUCUGCUGCUAGAAAGUGUUGGUACAUAACAUUUCAAACCAGCAUCAGUGUGUUUCUCUUUGCAUAAAGAGGUGUUUUCACUCACAGAUGGCUCCCCUCCAUGCAGUGACUCAGAGAUCUAUGGUGGAUAGAAGCUAUCUUCACUGCACAACUCCAAACUCUCCAUGAUCCCAGCUUAGCAUUAUAGUGAAAUGAAUGCCAAGGACAACAACUAAGGAUGCUAUGGACUUGACCUGGAAGUGACAGCCAUCACUCUCUUUAUAUUUCAUUAGCUAGAACACAUUAUGUGGCCACACCUGAUGCAUACAAGGCUGGGUGCCCAGCAAAGCAAAGGAACAUAGCCAGGCUCUGUGUAAAACAUCCAAAGAGUGAAAUGCUCUCUUGUGGUGUGAAACAAAACUAUCCUUGGGUACUUUACUCUAAUCUCAGGUCAGUAUAGGAUGCCAAAGUCAUAUGGAACAUUCCACAGAUCUACUUUUUAAACCCUUGUUUCCCUUUUCACACCCCAGGACUUCUAUAGCCCCAGCCUUCUCUUAGCCUUCCCCCACCCCUCCCAUCUCAUGCCCAAGCAGCAUCAACUACAAAUAGCUUAUGCAAAAUUACACACCGUGAGCCAGGGAGGAAGAUGGGAUGAAUUUCAACUCAAAUCCCAAGCAGCAUCCUUAUCUCUAGGAGAAAACUACAAUAGCUCAUUUCUUUGCUUCAUUAUUCUCUUACAGUAGCUAUGACAGUUUCUUACAGCUAUUUUUUUAAAGAUUCAAACACUCCAAGGAUCAGCAGUGGACAAGUUAAUGAGAAACACAAUUGUUGCUGUUAGAAGUAAAGAGCUGAUCAUGGUGAAAUGUGAAGGAAUUAUUGCAUUUAUCUAGGGUUUGUCAGUUUAAGUGCAGGAAGCUAAUGUUGGGGAAACAUAAAUGGUCUUUGAACCAAAUGAAUAACGCAGCUGCUUCUUCCUGCUAUUUUUUGUAAGAGUUAUUAAAUUAAAUACACAUAAGUUUAAAUGCCCCUGAGAUAAUAUGUUGAAUACCUUUGGGGAAUAAGUCAUACUUCCAUUUGAAAAUGCCAAUUUGAGCCCACCUUUAAAUCCCUUCUCUUCAAUCUUCCAAUAGAAAUGUACCAAGAAAUGUAAAGAUCUAAUUGAAAGAGUUUAUCUCCAGGCUAGAAUCAAGGACAGCUUCUCUCAGCAAGCCAAGACCACUGUGGCAUGUCUAGGACAUAAUGAAUGUGACAUUAGAUUGAGGGUACUAUUACCCCACCCACAAUCCAAAAGAAGCCGGGGGAGGAAACCCUACUCAGAAAGUAUGUGUGCCAGGUAUGGUGGUACAGGCAUCUAAUCCCAGUUCUCAGAAGGCUGAGGCAGGAAGAUCCCUAUGAGUUCAAAGCCAGUCUAGCCCACACAGUGAGUUCUAGGCUAGCCGGGGCUGUAUAGUGAAACCUCAAAACAAACAAACAAAAACAAAGAGUAUGAAACUUGGAUAUCUAAUAGAACAUAUUCUCCAAGCCCUACCAAAGGAAAGAAUAUUCCAGGCUCAGCAUUAGUAUACAAAGGUAAAAGUAAGAUACAUGUCAGAGGGAUAAAUAUCAACCACUUAUCACGUGUAGAGGAAAUACGGGGUAGGUACAGUGAGCUUGUGGGGUCAUCUUGGGACUCACCUAUUCUCGUGCAUGCUAGCCUCACCUUUAAUAUCUAGCACUUGGGUUUUCAAUGCAUUCUGUCUGUCACCCCCACAGGCAACUCUGUCCCUGUGAGGCAAAACAGAAGUCUCAAGGGACUGAAGCAGGGUGUAAACAUGGCAGCUCUCCUCCCAGGUGGGAGAAUUCUGCCGAGGUGCAUGUUUUAUGCUGGGCUAGUGUUCCCCAGUUGUGGUGAGCUCCAAUCAUCCAUCCAGGAACUUCUUAGAUUGUGCACCUCGAAUGGGCUGCCUUUCCCUCCCUGCCUCACUUCUCCCUCCUGUGGAAGGUGAAAUAGCUUCUCCAACUAUGUCAGGAUCUGUUUCUGAGGAAAUACAAAAGUGAGGUACUAACUGAAUAUUCUGAAGGGGUGUUAGCAAGUCAAACAAUGCAGUCACUGCUAUCAUAGAGCUGCACAUUAAAUAAGCAGUGGGCCUUGUAGGGAUGAGGGCUGUUGUCUGUGCUAAUGUCAAACUAAUGUGAGCAUGACAAAGGACACAUCCUGUGAAGAGCUGCUCCUUUAAAUGCCUACACCCCAUGAUAUAGUCUCUCUCUCUCUCUCUCUCUCUCUCUCUCUCUCUCUCUCUCUCUCUCUCACACACACACACACACACACACACACACACACAACUCGAUACCACUCCCCUAUUUUAGAGGAACACUAAAGCUGAACUAUAAUAUCUGACAGAAUCCAUGUCAAUCCUGGACACACAUAAAUCUCUCAAAGAAUAAUAACAGAGCAUGUUUCAAGUCACCUCCUGGAACCAGUGAGAAGGCUCAGCAGAUAAUGCACUUGCACACAAGGCUGAGGACCUGGGUUCAAUCCCCAGGGCCCAUGUAAAGAUGGCCGGAGAAAGCUGACUCCACUAAAUUGUCCUUUGACUUCCAUGUGCAUGCUGUAGCAUGGCACACCCAUACCCACACACCAAGCUCACAUGAUAAUAAAUAAAAUUUAAAAGUCACCUAUCAUAAGUGACUAUUUAGUGUUCAAAACAAUGCCCAGUUCUACAUAAUCCCUGCAAACAUUCCCCUGGAGAAACAUAUGAGGCAUCUUUAGAAACACAUUCUCAAAUAUUGUGGUCAUAUCCAAACUACACUGCAGGAUGUAAGUGCUAGGGGAAAUGGAUGAAAGAUGAGUGGAAAACCUGAGUAGCGUCUUUGCACCUUUUCUAGAAAUCUAGAGUCAUUCCAAAAUAAAGCAAGAUAAGACUCGGCAAAACGAACAUCGCCCUCACAAUAGAACUAUGCAAUCUAGAGCUAUUUUGAGCAGAAAAGAAAAUACAAUCAUCAAAAUAUCUAAAUUAGUAGAAUCUAAACAAUGGAUUGGAUGCUGCCAAGACUCGAAGCAGUCAUUUGGAAGAUCAGUGGGAGAGACUUCUUCAGACUCAGAGGAAAAGACAAAAAUAGUGAGACAAGGGAGAAGGAUGGAGAAAUGAACCAUGGAAGCCCAAAAAGCUCCAGUUUAGAAUUCUAGAAGGAUUGAACAGACAGAUGGAAGAGACAUGAUAAUGCACGAAAGAACAGACGGAAAAUUCCCUCAAUUGUAAGCAGUGGAUUUGUUCCCAAGGAUGGUGAGUAGUGCUGGUUGGAAAAGCAUGGCAGAAGCUCAGCCCAGGGGCCAUGCCUACACCCUUGGCAUCUGCACAAAUCAUGAGUCAGAGAAAUGCAAAUAGCACUGACUUGUCCUGUGCUUACAAUGGGAUAAUUGAAGCAAAGGAAAGCCCAGGAUUCCUGGCAUGGCUCCCAGUGAACUGGGGGCUUAUAUAGGUCCAGCACAUCUGAAGAGCUAUAAGGGUAGGUGGUCAAGCCUGUCUACACAGCUCUGGGAAAUGAGCAAAGCUAAGGCAAAAAAAUCUGGGGAUGUGAGAGAUGGGGACAGGGUUGGAACUUGGCCCCAUGCCUUGAUUCAUUCCAUUCAUCCUAUUUCUCUGCCUUCCACACCCAUUUCCCACCCUACUCUCUAUCCAGUCUCAAAGUUUAGGUAACUUCAGAAAGUCUCUGCUUUCUCCCAGGGCCAUUUUAUCUCCAGAUGAUGACUUCUGAUGAGCAACCACUCCUCUCUGUCCCUAGAACUUUAACCCAAGUCCCCAUCUUGGGCUAUUUUCACAACAUCCCAGUAUUGCCUUCAUAUUCCAGCCUCUGAAGCUGAAGUAUUCACUGAAUACAACGACUUGGACCACGCCAGGUGUCACAAACUGCAACAAUGAUAACAUUGUGUCACACUGUGCCCACAUUGAUACAGACAAGGAGAGUAGAUGAGAUGCAGCGAAGCCUAUGGCAACUAGAGAGCAUGCGCUCUGAGGACAGUCAGUUAUUUCUCACACCCAGCUCAGUGUCUCCUGUGAAAGCAUGGACUGAAGAAGACUAGCUCUUUGAGUUUUUCAAAGAAGAACUUUCUUUGAUGCAAUCUCUUGGUGUAAGCAGCAUCCUGCCCUGUUUUUGAGCACAGUGAGGUGGUUUCUAAUCUACUUCAGUGCAUCCAAGGCACACAGAUGAUGUUAGGUAAACAGUGCUGAGAGUUCAGUGCUGUAGAGAUGCUGUCAGACUAGCAGGUUGCCAACAUGUAAAUGUGCCCCAGGGAAUCUCAUGGAAUCUCCAUACAGUCAAUGGUCACCUCCAUUCUUGCCUUAGAGAUAGGAAACUCACAAUGGGGCAGCCUAUGGGCUGCCCUAAGUAUACAGUGUUGAUGCUAGGAGCUAGAUCUAGAUCUCUCUUGUUACCAAGGAAACCGAGGCUCCAUUGUAGGACUCGGAGUAUCAGUUAUAAAAGAAUUUAAAAGCAGACUCAGAAAAAAGUCAAACUGUUCUUGAGUUUGGGAGAAAACAGUACAGACAAGCAGAAAAUACCAGCAGCCACGAGGAGGAAGGGAUAUGAAGAAAACAUCAUGCCUUUUAAGUUAGGCAGGAGGGCUCAGAAAAGGCCUAGGGUGCUAAGGAUCUGAGUUCAACAGGCACCCGAGUCUAUGCUUUUGUGUCCUUAGGCAAAGGAUUGUAUCAGGGACAAGUGGCUAUAAAGGACAGAGACAUCUUCCUAAGAAAUGCAAAGAAUGGGAGUGGGCUGGUAGGCUGAGGUGAGAGCCCCGGAAGUACUGGACCAUACGGCCAAUGACCCUUUCCAGGGUAUUUACAUAACACCUGCCUCUCUCAGCUUCAUAUGUCACAGGCCAUUUUCCUGCAUGCUCUGUUAAAUGAAGUUCAGGUACAGAGGGUUUCCAGCCUCCCGUAUGAACUUGCUUCUUCCACGUGUUAAAUUGGAUGUUUCAGUUUCUGGUCCCCACUCUCCUAUCAGGUCCUGACCCUCGGCCACCUCACUUUUUGUGUUUUACCAUCACCAUAUAGGUUCUUAGACAAGCCAGUCUCCAUGCAUCUCCAUUUCAAAGACCAACCCCUAACCCUUCUCCAAGUUUCCCCUGCCUGAUUCAUAUAGGUUCUUAGACAAGCCAGUCUCCAUGCAUCUCCAUUUCAAAGACCAACCCCUAAUCCUUCUCCAAGUUUCCCCUGCCUGAUUCCCUAUACAUUCCCAUCACUAACUCAACCUCAUUACCUUCCCUCCAACUGGGAAGCAACCUCCCAGUUGACCUACCUGCUUCUGGAGCCUCUUUCACUAUGCUCUCCACAAUUCUUCUAAAUAAUAUUUAAUAGAAAGUUUUACGCUCUCUUGCACAUUGCCAGGUUCCAUGGUUGAGUUUCUUUAUCAUCUAGUGUGAUCCAUCUCCUGACCUUAUUUCUCACCACUACUAUACCAAAUUCAUACCAUCAGCACCCUCGCUGAAGUUCCUACGUCCUUCAAGUCCUGUGAGCUUCAUCAUGCCUUGCUUCUGACUGUGGCGAUCUCUCCACUGCAGGGCUGUUGGCCUUCUUUGGAGAAAUCCUCCCCAUGCUGAAGACCUGGCUUGAAUUGGGCCCCAGCGUGAGAAUUUCCUAAAACUCCAGAGUUAACGACUAGGUUCUCAGUGACCUUCUUAAUCACUUUCUUGAAUAUCUACCUCCUCAAAUGGAUGGCUUUAUGUGACUGCCCCAUGCCUAACAGAGGCUUAGGUAUCAACAGAUUCAAUUUAUUCCUUGAACAUGAGCAGCUACAGCUCCACACUCUGCAGUCACAUAGAAGGAAAUGACAUGAUGUAUUUCAAAGCUAGCUCAAUUAAUUCUUUUACCAACCCUACAAUUUUCUAGUUACAUGCAUUUUACCAAGGUGAAGGAAGACACUCCGAGAGCUAAUAUGCCUAAGGUAUGACAGCUAGGAAGUAGCAGCCAGAAUGAAAUCCAGGGAUUCCCAUUUUGUUAAUGGUUCCAUAUUUCCCUUCAACCUCAGCAACAACCCCUGAUGGUUUUCCCUGGGCCUUCUCUUCCUUCAUCUAGUUCAUCAGUCUCAGUUCUUUCUGUCAUUCCUGAGUCACCACUCAUCACUGAUUUAAAUACAAUGAAGAAGGCCACCAUGGUGCAAGCACUAAUUUCACUCCCACACUUGACUUCCUUCUGUUUCACCCAAGGUAAAUACUACUGACUCCAUGGGAAUUCAAGAUAAGGGGAGAUGAAGACCUGUUCCAUGUACUCCCAUCUCCUCCCUCAACUCCCAUCGCUUCAGAUAAAAAUAUCUUCACAAGUGUCCUCUUUAAAAUCUUCAGUAGCACCUGCCUAUUCUGUGUAAUGCACAAGAUGCACUCACACGCUGUGUGGUCUUUUGUGUCUUAUUAGGGUUUAAGGACAAGAGGGAAGUGAAGAGUUACUGCCAACAGGUGUGGCGCUCUUGAGAGCGAUAACCAUAUUCUGGAAUUACCACCAAUGAUUGCAUAACUUUGAAGCAACUAAACCAUGAUUUUUAAAUUGUGGUCAAAUGUGCAUAAUAUAAAAUCGCCAUUUAGUCAUUGUCAAACACAUAGUUCAGUGGCAUUAAGUGGAUUCACACGGUGUAACCAUCACCAUUUUCCCUCUCUUGAAUGUCCUGACCUCUGUGUGUGUGUCUGUGUAAACGCAUAUACUAAUACAGUGAUUUUUUGUAAGGAAUUGAAUCAUAUGAUUAGGAAGUCUGGGUUCUAACAUAUGCAGUGGACAAGCUAAAAGCCCCAAGAGAGCAGAUGAUACAGUGCUAAUCCAAAGGCCAGCAGGCUGAAGACCAAAUAAAAGCCAACAUCCAAAAGCAGGGGAAGACGAUUUCCCCCAAACUCCCUGCCAAGGGAAUUUCCUGUUAUUUGAGGAAGAGUCAACUUUUAUUCUAUUCAAGCCUUUGACUGACUGCAUGAUGUGCAUUUAGAGAGGACAAUAUUCUCUCCUCAGUCCACUGAACCCAGUGUCAAACUCACCCUCACCAACACAUCUACAAGUGCUUGACCAAAUAGCUGGACACUCCAUGGCUCACUGACCCAUAAAAUCGCCCAUCACAUUUUCAAGCUGAAGUACCCCUUAAAUAACUUCAAUGCCACCUCCCUCCCUGCCCUGGGCAACCACAACUGUAGAUUCUGUCUCUCCAAAUUUGACUAUUCUAGUACAGAGUAUAUCAAGAGUCACACAACAUUUAUCCUCUUUAGCUGCCUUAUUUUGAUCGGCACAAGAAAGGUCUGCAAGGUUCAUCUAUGUUACACCAGGUAUCAGAAUUUCACUCACUCUCUGUCCAAGUGGACUAAUAUGCCACUGUAGGUUAUCUAGAACCUUUUUAUCUCUUAUCCAUUCUGCCACCAACGGACAUUUCAGUUGUUUCCCUUUAGGCUAUUGUGAAUGGUGCUUUUGUGACAUUGGUAUGCAGAUCCAUGCUCAACUGUAUACAUUCAGGUCUUUAGAGACAUGUGUCCAAAGUGUGUGUGUGUGUGUGUGUGUGUGUGUGUGUGUGUGUGUGUGUGUGUGUUUGUGUGUGUGUGCAUGCUUACAUGUGGGGGUAGUUGUUAACUAUAAAUCUUUCUGCCAAAAGCCGCCUGAGCCCCACUGCCACUUGUGAGCUUUACGACAGCCGCCUGCCCGAGUUAGGCCCAAAUGAAUACACAGAGAGACUUGUAUUAGUUACAAUGCUGCUUGGCCAAUGACUAGGAUUCUCAUCUGUUAGCUCAGUCUCAAUUAUUAUACAUCUAUAUAUUUUAUAAGACUUAUCUUAUCGGACGCCUUAUUGGCGUCCCUCCUAGCUGGUGGAUCACAUCGUGCCGCUGGAGCAGGAGCCGAG